rnacentral:lncRNA from 1 species
GAAUUCUUGCAGCUGAAAAGGACAGCUAUGGUUUAAUUAUAAACACUUUUGAAGAGUUGGAGGCACCAUUCCUCCAACAAUACAAGAAAGCAGGGCAAUAUAAUAGAAUUUGGUGUGUUGGUCCCGUUUCGCAGUGCAACAAAGACACCUUGGACAAAGCUGAACGAGGUAAUGAGACAUGUAUCAAAGGACAUGAAUGUUUAAGGUGGCUCGACUCCUGGCAACCAGGAUCUGUAGUUUAUGCCUGUCUUGGAAGUCUUCCCAAUAUACCAACUUCACAAUUUACAGAGCUGGGCUUGGGCUUAGAGGCAUCCAACAGACCAUUUAUUUGGGUUGUAAGGGGAGGAGAAAGAUCAAAAGAAAUAGAGAAGUGGAUUUCAGAGACGGGAUUUGAAGAGAGAACCAAAGGAAGAGGUCUUGUGAUGUGCGGUUGGGCACCACAGGUGAUGAUACUGUCACACCCUGCAAUCGGAGGUUUCUUAACACAUUGUGGUUGGAAUUCAACACUAGAAGCAAUAAGUAGUGGCGUGCCUGUAAUCACAUGGCCACUCUUUGCAGACCAAUUUUGUAAUGAGAAGUUAGCAGUGCAGGUACUGAAGAUAGGCGUCAGAGUUGGAGUGGAGGUUCCUGAGAGGGGAGUGGAGGAAGGGCAGAAUGGUGUAUUGGUGAAAAAGGAAGAUGUUGAGAAGGCGUUGAAUGAUUUGAUGAAAGAAGGAGAGGAAAGGGAAGAGAGAAGAAGAAGAGUUAAAGAGCUUGCAGAGAUGGCAAAGAAAGCAACUGAGGAAGGAGGUUCUUCUUGUCUCAACAUCAAACUUCUAAUCCAAGAUAUCAUGCAGCACGUAAAUGAAGAAGCAUCGCCUCCUCCAAUUAAAUAUCCAGAAAAUUCCUAAAGUCCCUAGAAAAAUGUGGUGCUCUCUUCAAGAAGCUUCAACAAGUUUCUUCAUCCGUGCAAUUCUCAUCACCGGCGUAUGCAGAAACUACUGUACCAACUGCUAGUGAGAAUGAAGGGAACACUCGAGUGUGUGAGUGGAUUGUGUUUGAGUGGUGACAAUGUGUGCACGUGAAAACAUUUGUAUACAAUCGGUUACCGUAACAGCCCGAAACCGAACUGCUACCGGCACUAGGAUUCAGAUCGAUUUAAGGUCGCCGGAACCGUAGUAAGCCUGCUAUCCUGUUUGUGUACCUGUGAAAUCUCAUACAUGAUCAUUCUUGUUCUGUCAAACUAUUAAAACUGUUCUGAUACAUGAUCAUUCUUAUUCUGUCAAAUUAUUAAAACUGUUAUGUCCUCCAAGACUUAACUUGUGCAUGCACUGUUUGAAAAAUCUAAACACUUUCGUUUUUUUCCAAUUUAUUCCAAUUUAAUGCAAAACUUUAAAUGGUAAUAAAAUUAUUCAAAAUUUUAAAUUUUGUUACAAUCAUAUUCAAACUUAAAAUUUAAAUUGAGAUAGUGUAUUUUGUUAUAUUAAUUCAUUUUUAUAUAAAGUUGUACUCUCAAUAGUUUUAAAAUUAUAUUAUAUAAUAAAUAUAAUUAAUAAAAUUUUAUAAAUUAUACUUUUAUUAAAUAAUGAUCAAUAUUUAGAUAUAUAUAGAAAGUGCAAGAUCAUUACUUAGAUUCUUAAUAUUUAGAAAAUACUUUUAUCUUUAAAUAAUGCAUACUCUGCUUCCACGUAACUUGAACUGAAGUUAGGCUGGCUGAAAAGAGGAUAAGCAUUCGAACAGAGUUGUUCUAGAUUUUGAGCUCACGGAUAGAGCAAGAAUGAUUGCAUCACUGCUGAGCUAUUUCAUUUUGGCUGCUUCUGCAGAAUGGACAUAUACAGAUUUAAAAUCUCUUCUACUGAAUGAUUGAAGGUCAUGGAGAUUUCAAUCAUAAAACACUUUGAUAAGACUCACCAUAACAUUUCUGGAAUGAAAUUGUCUGCAAAUUCCAUCCACAUAAUCUGUUUCUGCCUGUGACCACGUAGACCUCUCUGUGCAUCCACAUAAUAUUCUAUCACUAAAGUUGUGAACCACGCCAAACAAAAAUUGGCUCGUCUUGGGCUCCUAAAACAUCAGCAAGGCCUAGUUAUCCAGCAAUUUUAAAUACGAUUACGUUUGUAUCAUAAUGAUCAUUACCCAUUUCACAUGAUUUCAUAGAAUAGAUGGAGCUCUAUUAUAUAAUUUUUAUUCACUUUCUCCAUUAUAUAAUUAUUAUAUAAUUUUAAUUUUUAUUCACUUUACUUAUAUAUAUAUACUAAAAAAUUUAAUUUUUUAAUUAUAUUAUUUUAAAUAUAUUAAAUUUUAUUAAAUAUUAAAAAAUAUUUUUAAAAAAAUUCUUAAAAAUAAAAUAAAAUAAAAUAAUAAUUUAGAGACAAUAAUAAAAAAUAAAUAAAUAAAAAUUAUAGAAAGGCGGAAUAAUAAAUAAUUAAUCAAUAUGUAUCCUAUUAAUACAAUAUAAAUAGAAGAUGAGGAAACAAAAUAACCCAUCUCUCCCAGCUGGCUCUUCUUUUUUCUCUCUUCUUUUUAUCAUUCUUCCAUUGCCAUGCCUUCCCAAACCCAACAGCUUCACUUUGUGUUGUUUCCUCUUAUGGCCCAAGGCCAUAUGAUUCCCAUGAUAGACAUCGCAAGACUAUUAGCACAGCAUGGCGUGAUGAUCAGUAUAGUCACCACACCUCUCAAUGCUGCUAGAUUUAAAACAGUUCUUGCUCGUGCUGUAAAAUCUGGACUCAAAAUCCAGGUUUUUGAGCUCCAGUUUCCGUCCGAAAUUGCAGGCUUGCCAGAAGGGUGUGAGAAUUUUGACAUGCUGCCUUCACUGGAAAUGGGCAAACAAAUGUUCACAGCGAUUAUCGAGCUUGAAAAGCAAGCAGAUAAAUUGCUUGAAGAGCUAAUCCCUCAGCCAAGCUGUAUAAUCUCCGAUAUGUGUUUUCCAUGGACUGUUAGAGUUGCUAGCAAAUGGAAAGUUCCAAGGAUUUCUUUCAUUGGUUUUAGCUGCUUUUGCAUGUUGUGCUGCCACAACACGCGUGUUUCCAAGGUUCUAGAGAACAUAACCUCGGAAUCAGAAUAUUUCGCUGUUCCAGGCUUGCCUGAUAGUAUUAAAUUCACCAAAGCACAGAUGGCCUCUCUUGUGAAAUCGGAUGAAUUCGUCAAUCGAAUGAUUGCAGCUGAAAAGGACAGCUAUGGUAUAAUUAUAAACACUUUCGAAGAGUUGGAGGCGCCAUUCUUCCAACAAUACAAGAAAGCAGGGCAAUAUAAUAGAAUUUGGUGUGUUGGUCCUGUUUCGCAGUGCAACAAAGACACCUUGGACAAAGCUGAACGAGGUAAUGAGACAUGUAUCAAAGGACAUGAAUGUUUAAGGUGGCUCGACUCCUGGCAAACAGGAUCUGUAGUUUAUGCCUGUCUUGGAAGCCUUCCAAAUAUACCAACUUCACAACUGAUAGAGCUGGGCU